rnacentral:piRNA from 1 species
UGACAAUUCCCACACAAGAAAAAUCCAG